GAUGAACGCUGGCGGCGUGCCUAAUACAUGCAAGUCGAGCGAACGGACGAGAAGCUUGCUUCUCUGAUGUUAGCGGCGGACGGGUGAGUAACACGUGGAUAACCUACCUAUAAGACUGGGAUAACUUCGGGAAACCGGAGCUAAUACCGGAUAAUAUUUUGAACCGCAUGGUUCAAAAGUGAAAGACGGUCUUGCUGUCACUUAUAGAUGGAUCCGCGCUGCAUUAGCUAGUUGGUAAGGUAACGGCUUACCAAGGCAACGAUGCAUAGCCGACCUGAGAGGGUGAUCGGCCAUACUGGAACUGAGACACGGUCCAGACUCCUACGGGAGGCAGCAGUAGGGAAUCUUCCGCAAUGGGCGAAAGCCUGACGGAGCAACGCCGCGUGAGUGAUGAAGGUCUUCGGAUCGUAAAACUCUGUUAUUAGGGAAGAACAUAUGUGUAAGUAACUGUGCACAUCUUGACGGUACCUAAUCAGAAAGCCACGGCUAACUACGUGCCAGCAGCCGCGGUAAUACGUAGGUGGCAAGCGUUAUCCGGAAUUAUUGGGCGUAAAGCGCGCGUAGGCGGUUUUUUAAGUCUGAUGUGAAAGCCCACGGCUCAACCGUGGAGGGUCAUUGGAAACUGGAAAACUUGAGUGCAGAAGAGGAAAGUGGAAUUCCAUGUGUAGCGGUGAAAUGCGCAGAGAUAUGGAGGAACACCAGUGGCGAAGGCGACUUUCUGGUCUGUAACUGACGCUGAUGUGCGAAAGCGUGGGGAUCAAACAGGAUUAGAUACCCUGGUAGUCCACGCCGUAAACGAUGAGUGCUUAGUGUUAGGGGGUUUCCGCCCCUUAGUGCUGCAGCUAACGCAUUAAGCACUCCGCCUGGGGAGUACGACCGCAAGGUUGAAACUCAAAGGAAUUGACGGGGACCCGCACAAGCGGUGGAGCAUGUGGUUUAAUUCGAAGCAACGCGAAGAACCUUACCAAAUCUUGACAUCCUUUGACAACUCUAGAGAUAGAGCCUUCCCCUUCGGGGGACAAAGUGACAGGUGGUGCGUGGUUGUCGUCAGCUCGUGUCGUGAGAUGUUGGGUUAAGUCCCGCAACGAGCGCAACCCUUAAGCUUAGUUGCCAUCAUUAAGUUGGGCACUCUAAGUUGACUGCCGGUGACAAACCGGAGGAAGGUGGGGAUGACGUCAAAUCAUCAUGCCCCUUAUGAUUUGGGCUACACACGUGCUACAAUGGACAAUACAAAGGGCAGCGAAACCGCGAGGUCAAGCAAAUCCCAUAAAGUUGUUCUCAGUUCGGAUUGUAGUCUGCAACUCGACUACAUGAAGCUGGAAUCGCUAGUAAUCGUAGAUCAGCAUGCUACGGUGAAUACGUUCCCGGGUCU
rnacentral:rRNA from 1 species